GAUGAAGAACGUAGCGAAAUGCGAUAAGUAAUGUGAAUUGCAGAAUUCAGUGAAUCAUCGAAUCUUUGAACGCACAUUGCGCCCCCCAGUAUUCUGGCGGGCAUGCCUGUUCGAGCGUCAUUUCAACCAUCAAGCCCUGCUUGUGUUGGGGUCCUGCGGCUGCCCGCAGGCCCUGAAAACCAGUGGCGGGCUCGCUAGUCACACCGAGCGCAGUAGCACAUCUCGCUCAGGGCGUGCGGCGGGCUGCAGCCGUUAAAGCACCCACCUUUCGCAAGGUUGACCUCGGAUCAGGUAGGAAUACCCGCUGAACUUAAGCAUAUCAAUAAGCGGAGGA
rnacentral:misc_RNA from 1 species